GAAGCUGGCCAGACAGUCGCUGCCUGGUAACCCAGGGAGAGGAAAGUCCGGGCUCCAUAGAGCAGGAUGCCGGUUAAUGGCCGGCCGCUAUAAGUCGCAAGACCCAAGGCGAGGAACAGGGCCACAGAGACGAGCGUAUUGAGUUACGGUGAAACGCGGUAACCUCCAUCCGGAGCAAGACCAAAUAGGCAGGCGAUGACGCUGCUCGUCGAGUCUGCGGGUAGGUUGCUUGAGCGAACGGGUAACCGUUCGCCUAGAGGAAUGACUGUCCACGACAGAACCCGGCUUAUCGGCCAGCUUCACUU
rnacentral:RNase_P_RNA from 1 species